rnacentral:rRNA from 1 species
UACGGGGGGGUAAGCGUUGUUCGGAAUUACUGGGCGUAAAGGGCUCGUAGGCGGCCAACUAAGUCGGACGUGAAAUCCCUCAGCUUAACUGGGAACUGCGUCCGAUACUGGAUGGCUUGGAUUUGGGAGAGGAUGCGGAAUUCCAGGUGUAGCGGUGAAAUGCGUAGAUAAUCUGGAGGAACACCGGUGGCGAAGGCGGCAUCCUGGACCAAUAUUGACGCUGAGGAGCGAAAGCCAGGGGAGCAAACGGG